AUGGCACCUGUGGAAUCAUAUCUCAGACUUCACAAGAGCCACAUCUUUCCAUACAUCAAUGACUGGCUCCUUGUGGCUCGCUCACAUUGCAAAGCACAACACAACAUCUCCUUCACCCUGUCCCUUCUCAGGGAUCUCAGCCUGGCAGUAAACCUGCAAAAAUCCAAAAUACACCCCGCAAGUCUAGCUCACUACAUAGGAGCAGUUCUGGAUUCGAGACCCACUUGGGCUAUCCUUCCAACGGACAAGUGUACCAACUUAUUAAGCUUACUCAGUGCCUUUACUCCCUAUGCACCUGUAUCUGCACUGAUAGUCCACUGUGUCCUGGGCACUAUGGCAUCCAUGACCUCAGUAGUCCAACAUGUUCAUCUCAAAAUGAAGUCACUUCAAGCUUGGUUCCUGGCUUCAUUCAACCCCAUGACAGACUCACCACAUAUGUUUUUGCGAGUCACUGCAGAACUCACUUCCCAGCUGACUUGGUGGCACUCUGCCCAAAAUCUAAUGAUGGGACGACCUUUUCAACAGCCACGGCCACAAAUCCAAGUGACCACAGAUGCCAGCCUCACCGGCUGGGGUGCUCACUGCCAAGCCUUACGGAUUCAUGCACAGUGGUCACAAAGAGAAAAGUUAUUCCACAUCAACAAGCUGGAGUUGCCAGCAAAAGCUUGCAAAGCCUUCAAAAACCACCUUACUGACAAAAUGGUUCAGAUAGCCACAGACAAUACGGCUACAAUGUACUAUAUUCUAAAACAAGGAGGUACCCAUUCUCCAAGCCUCCUGUAUCUAGCUGUGGACCUCUGGGAGUGGUGCCUAGCCCACCACAUAUGCCUCAUGGCAAUACAUAUAGCAGGUCAGGACAAUGACCUCGCGGACUUGCUCAGUCGCAAAGAGUCCCAAGCUCUUGACCAUUCAGUCUUUCUCUCACUGUGCAAGCAUUGGCGACCAUUCAGUCUUUCUCUCACUGUGCAAACAUUGGGGCACACCCGCAGUAGACCUCUUUUCCUCCAGGAACAACCGGAAGUGCAAACAUUAUCAUUCCCACAUAAGAGUAGGGGGGGAAACUGCAGAGACGCAUUUGUAGGCCAUUGGCCCAUCAAACAUUAUCAUUCCCACGUAAGAGUAGGGGGGGAAACUCCCGCAGAGACGCAUUUGUAG
rnacentral:lncRNA from 1 species